rnacentral:sRNA from 1 species
UCCACGAAACAUACGCCAGUUUACGGCAGA